AUGCUGCAAGGGCUCGUGAGCACAGGGUUUGGGAUUGUGAGCACAGGAUUUGGGAUUGUGAGCACAGGGUUUGGGAUUGUGAGCACAGAAUUUGGGAUUCUGAAUGCAGGGUUUGGGAUUGUGAGCACAGAGUUUGGGACUGUGAGCACAGGGUUUGGGCUCAUGAGCACAGGGUUUGGGCUCGUGAACACAGGAUUUGGGAUUGUGAGCACAGGGUUUGGGCUCGUGAGCACAGGGUUUGGGAUUGUGAGCACAGGGUUUGGGAUUGUGAGCACAGGGUUUGGGAUUGUGAGUGCAGGGUUUGGGAUUGUGAGCACAGGGUUUGGGAUUGUGAGUGCAGGGUUUGGGAUUGUGAGCACAGGGUUUGGGAUUGUGAGUGCAGGGUUUGGGAUUGUGAGCACAGGGUUUGGGAUUGUGAGUGCAGGGUUUGGGAUUGUGAGCACAGGGUUUGGGAUUGUGAGUGCAGGGUUUGGGAUUGUGAGCACAGGGUUUGGGCUCCUGAACACAGGGUUUGGGAUUAUGAACGCAGGGUUUGGGAUUGUGAGCACAGGGUUUGGGUUUGUGAGCACAGGGUUUGGGCUCAGGUACACAGGGUUUGGGUUUAUGAACACAGAGUUUAGCUCCCUGCUGCCUCUGACACCUCGGUGCUGCCUGGGGCUGCUGGAGCACAGGGGACAGCCACAGGGGAAACAGCAACUGAAAUGUCAAAAGUGUCCCAAAAAUCAAACAGUACCCAAAGCCCACCUCCUGCUCCCUUUCCCAAGGAAAGCCCUUUCAAAAGAAGACUGCCAGCCUUCUGUACUGCUUGAAGAAUGA
rnacentral:lncRNA from 1 species